UACGUAGGGGGCUAGCGUUGUCCGGAAUUACUGGGCGUAAAGCGCUCGUAGGCGGCUUUGCAAGUUAGAGGUGAAAGCCCGGAGCUCAACUCCGGAAUUGCCUUUAAGACUGCAUCGCUUGAAUCAUGGAGAGGUGAGUGGAAUUCCGAGUGUAGAGGUGAAAUUCGUAGAUAUUCGGAAGAACACCAGUGGCGAAGGCGACUCACUGGCCCAUUACUGACGCUGAGGCACGAAAGCGUGGGGAGCAAACAGG
rnacentral:rRNA from 1 species